rnacentral:misc_RNA from 1 species
AGCAGCCGCGGUAAUUCCAGCUCCAAUAGCGUAUAUUAAAGUUGCUGCAGUUAAAAAGCUCGUAGUUGAAUUUCGGGAUCAAUAUGUUGGUCGUGCCUCGGUACGUACUAGCUUAUUGGUUUCUCCCUUCUGACGAACCAUGAUGUCAUUUAUUUGGUGUUAUGGGAAAUCAGGACUGUUACUUUGAAAAAAUUAGAGUGUUUAAAGCAGGCUCACGCUUGAAUACAUUAGCAUGGAAUAAUGAAAUAGGACGUUUGAUUCUAUUUUGUUGGUUUCUAGGAUCGACGUAAUGAUUAAUAGGGAUAGUUGGGGGCAUUAGUAUUCAAUUGUCAGAGGUGAAAUUCUUGGAUUUAUUGAAGACUAACUACUGCGAAAGCAUUUGCCAAGGAUGUUUUCAUUAAUCAAGAACGAAAGUUAGGGGAUCGAAGACGAUCAGAUAUCGUCGUAGUCUUAACCAUAAACUAUGCCGACUAGGGAUCGGAUGAUGUUAAUUUUUAAUGUACUCAUUCGGUACCG